CCUACGGGAGGCAGCAGUGGGGAAUAUUGCGCAAUGGGCGAAAGCCUGACGCAGCCAUGCCGCGUGAGGGAUGAAGGCCUUCGGAUCGUAAACCUCUUUCAGCAGGGAAGAACGCGCUCUGUGCUAUUAACCAGUGAAUUGACGUUACCUGCAAAGGAAGCACCGGCUAACUCCGUGCCAGCAGCCGCGGUCAUACGGAGGGUGCAAGCGUUAAUCGGAAUUACUGGGCGUAAAGCGCGCGUAGGCGGUAGGUCAAGUCAAGGGUGAAAUCCCCGGGCUCAACGUGGGAAUUGCCUUUGAAACUGGUAAGCUAGAGUGUGGGAGAGGGUGGUGGAAUGCCAGGUGUAGGGGUGAAAUGCGUAGAGAGCUGGAGGAAAAUCGAUGGCGAAGGCGGCUA
rnacentral:rRNA from 1 species